rnacentral:rRNA from 1 species
UAUGUAGGUCCCGAGCGUUGUCCGGAUUUAUUGGGCGUAAAGCGAGCGCAGGUGGUUUAUUAAGUCUGGUGUAAAAGGCAGUGGCUCAACCAUUGUAUGCAUUGGAAACUGGUAGACUUGAGUGCAGGAGAGGAGAGUGGAAUUCCAUGUGUAGCGGUGAAAUGCGUAGAUAUAUGGAGGAACACCGGUGGCGAAAGCGGCUCUCUGGCCUGUAACUGACACUGAGGCUCGAAAGCGUGGGGAGCAAACAGG